UACGAAGGGGGCUAGCGUUGUUCGGAAUUACUGGGCGUAAAGGCGCGUAGGCGGUGAUCUUUGUCAGAGGUGAAAGCCCGGGGCUCAACUCCGGAAUUGCCUUUGAAACGGGAUUGCUUGAGUCCGAGAGAGGAUGGCGGAAUUCCUAGUGUAGAGGUGAAAUUCGUAGAUAUUAGGAAGAACACCGGUGGCGAAGGGCGGCCAUCUGGCUCGGUACUGACGCUGAUGCGCGAAAAGCGUGGGGGAGCAAACAGGG
rnacentral:rRNA from 1 species